rnacentral:rRNA from 1 species
UGGGGAAUAUUGGACAAUGGGGGCAACCCUGAUCCAGCAAUGCCGCGUGUGUGAAGAAGGUCUUCGGAUUGUAAAGCACUUUCGACGGGGACGAUGAUGACGGUACCCGUAGAAGAAGCCCCGGCUAACUUCGUGCCAGCAGCCGCGGUAAUACGAAGGGGGCUAGCGUUGCUCGGAAUGACUGGGCGUAAAGGGCGUGUAGGCGGUUUACACAGUCAGAUGUGAAAUCCCCGGGCUUAACCUGGGAGCUGCAUUUGAUACGUGUAGACUAGAGUGUGAGAGAGGGUUGUGGAAUUCCCAGUGUAGAGGUGAAAUUCGUAGAUAUUGGGAAGAACACCGGUGGCGAAGGCGGCAACCUGGCUCAUGACUGACGCUGAGGCGCGAAAGCGUGGGGAGCAAACAGGAUUAGAUACCCUGGUAGUCCACGCUGUAAACGAUGUGUGCUAGAUGUUGGGUAACUUUGUUAUUCAGUGUCGCAGUUAACGCGUUAAAGCACACCGCCUG